rnacentral:rRNA from 1 species
UACAGAGGUGGCAAGCGUUGUUCGGAAUUACUGGGCGUAAAGGGCGCGUAGGCGGCCUCGCAAGUCCCGUGUGAAAUCCCUCGGCUCAACUGAGGAAUGGCACGGGAAACUGCGGGGCUUGAAUCCGGGAGAGGGAUGCAGAAUUCCAGGUGUAGCGGUGAAAUGCGUAGAUAUCUGGAGGAAUACCGGUGGCGAAGGCGGCAUCCUGGACCGGCAUUGACGCUGAGGAGCGAAAGCGUGGGGAGCAAACAGG